AUUGAACGCUGGCGGCAUGCUUUACACAUGCAAGUCGAACGGCAGCGCGGGCUUCGGCCUGGCGGCGAGUGGCGAACGGGUGAGUAAUACAUCGGAACGUGCCCAGUAGUGGGGGAUAGCUCGGCGAAAGCCGGAUUAAUACCGCAUACGACCUGAGGGUGAAAGCGGGGGAUCUUCGGACCUCGCGCUAUUGGAGCGGCCGAUGGCAGAUUAGCUAGUUGGUGGGGUAAAGGCCUACCAAGGCGACGAUCUGUAGCUGGUCUGAGAGGACGACCAGCCACACUAUGACUGAGACACGGCCCAGACUCCUACGGGAGGCAGCAGUGGGGAAUUUUGGACAAUGGGCGAAAGCCUGAUCCAGCAAUGCCGCGUGUGUGAUGAAGGCCUUCGUGUUGUAAAGCACUUUUGGCGGGAACGAAAAGGACUGUGCCAAUACCACGGUUCGAUGACGGUACCCGCAGAAUAAGCACCGGCUAACUACGCG
rnacentral:rRNA from 1 species